GCGCGCCGGAGGCGGGGCUGGGGCCCGCGGCGCUAGGCGAUUGGCCGGCGCCCCGCGCGGAGCCGCUCCCCCGCCCUUACCGCCCGGCGGGCGCUUCCUGAACUCGGCUCCGGCGGCUGCCGGCGCGCCGGCGGGGUUGGAGAGUGAGGGGGCCGGGGGCCGGCGGCGGCCCCCUCCGUCUGGGGGAGGUCCGUUCUGCCCCCGCCCGCGGCGCUGGGAAGUGUGUGCUCCACCUGCCAGUUGGGCCCGAGGGGACGCGGAGCCGGCCCCGCGUGCAACCGCGUGCCCUCAGCCCCGCGAGCGCAGGGUCCGAAGUCUGGGGGCGCCGGCGCGCUGAGGGGAGCGAGACUCGACGCGCUUGCCCACGAAGGCCCAAGCCCCACCCUGAUGGCCCUCCAGCUGUUUCCAGAAGGCGCUCCCUGAAACACAAAUUGAGCAGAAACAAUCCUGCCAGGAUUUUAACUGGAUUACAUAUGCCUAUAAGGGUUUGGGGGAGCAGGGAGAGGAAUGUGUAUCUUCAUAGAGUUUGGACGGCCCAUCGAGAGACAGGAAGGGGCCAGUCUGCCCGGUGAUGGGCUGGCGUUCAGACACUCCCCUCCCAGCAGCAGCAGGGAGGAUGCCCUCGGGGAAACUGAGGCAGCAGGUCCCACCUCUCCCCCCACCACCCCUGGGGCCCAAGGUCCACCUGCUGGGAGCUGAUGGGGCAGGAGCACCCAUCACCUCACCCACGCCCGACGGCCACCCGGAUGGGACCGCCCCCAGGAGCGUCCAGUUGUGGGAAACCCUGGCAGGAGACAGGAGCGAGAAGGACCCUGAGGCCUGGUUACUUGUUCCCGAGAUCAGCCCUGCUGGGUCAUGGAGUUGAGAGAGAGAGAGAGAGAGCACGCGUGAGCAGAGGAGAGGAGCAGACGGAGAGAAAGACGAUCCCAAGCAGGCUCCAAGUUCAGUGGGUUUUUACAGUGUCAACACCAUGUAACUGCCAGCCAACACGAUCAGGAUAUUAGAAUGUUUCCAUCGCCUCAGAAAGUUCCCCGUGCCCUUUGCACGGGGUUCCGGGCCCUGGGAAACCACCCAUGUGCGUGCUUUCCGGUUACAAGAUCGGCUUUGCCUAUUCAAGAAUGUUCUAUCAGCUGUUCCAUCCCGAGCAGGGAAAGCCCGAGGCCUUCUGCCACACUCACUCGACGGUCCCAUUCAAACGGGCUCUUCUCCUGCGUACCUUCCCCCACGAUGACAUUCGGGGAGAGAAGAAGACUGCUUCCACUUUGCUGGGUGGAACUUGGUGCCAGAACCGAUGUAGCUUCAGCCGUGACAUCAGCGUCGGGAAAAUCCUCAGCGUGGCCGGCCGUGGUAGUGACAGAGCGCCGUGAGCAGGGCAACGGGGAUCCGAGUAAGACGCGGACGGGGAAGGAGAGGCUGGUCCGGGCGCGCACCUGAGCGCACAGGAAAACGGCUUUGUAAGGAAGUUCGAACCCAAGUCUGGCUGGCUGACCUUUCUGGAAGUUACAGGAAAGAUGUGUAAGGUGUUGUCUCUCCUGAAGAACUACUACUGAG